CCCCUCUCAGGGUCGCUUCUGGAGAGUUUCCAAUACUCUACUAGUCUCGGCUAUGGGAGGGAGAGUCAAGCAGAGACUUACCCAUUCCAUUCCUAGCUGGGGCAGUGGCUAGCGAGUGGAAGGCAAUCUGCUACAAGU
rnacentral:snoRNA from 1 species